rnacentral:piRNA from 1 species
UGGAAGCUGCUCNCUUUUUCAUCUCCAUGG